rnacentral:lncRNA from 1 species
GCAGUUUGAGAAGAUGGCGGCCUGAACCGGAGUCCUUCUUCCCCUCCUCCCUCUCCGCUGCUGCAAUGCCCAGGCCCCCCGCAACGUUCCUCGUCUGUAAUGGUGCCAGAGGCUUUAAAUCUUGCAGAAGCCACAUCUGCUGCCUGCAGCAGAGAUGGGGUUUCACCAUAUUGGCCAGGCUGGUCUUGAACUCAAGAUGAUUCGCCCAACACAGCCUCUCAAAGUGCUGGGAUUACAGUCUCCGGUAUGUCAUUAUCAGCAGUGUGAAAAUGGACUCACUCCCACCCUGUCUGGAUCUGGACAAGAGCCCACCACCCCGUUGGCAGUAGUCAGGCAGCUCUGCUUCUAAGAACCUGCAGCUUUUGGAAGAAAGGCACCCUGUGGUUUCAGAAGCCCAAGAGUCCCUGCAGCUCAGCACCCCCAGCCUGGUGCUUGGCAGAUGACUGCCUCCUCACUUAGCAGAGGGAGCAGAAAACUGUGUAUUCUUCAGAACAUCAUGAUAACCUGGCACUCAUGGGUCUAUGGAGAGAAUUCAGGGGGUCUGGGAGCUUGGAUGGAAUAAAUUUGCAUCUUUAUUUUCAGGAAAGUUUUACUGAAGUUUAGCAUUUUCUUUCAUUAUAAAUGGAAUCAGUAUAACCCAAUAGUAUGAGCAGUUACUUCUCCGCAACAUCAAAGUGGCUGCAGAUAUCUCAAAAUAGUAUUUACAUUUAUCAUAACUUAGAAAUUUGGGUGGUAAUUAAACCAGCAACUAUUCUUUGUUUAAUGCAUUAAGAAAGAAGUAUGUAUACUAUCAUAUCUCAAUUAAAAAUAUUUUA